GUAAAUAUAGUCCAACUAAGACAUUAGACUGUGAACCUAAAGAUGGAGACUUNAUCCCUCCUAUUUACC
rnacentral:tRNA from 1 species